UUUUUGCAUUAUUUCAAAAAGCGGAGGAAAAGAAACCAACAGGGAUUGCCUCAGUAACGGCGAGUGAAGCGGCAACAGCUCAAAUUUGAAAUCUGGCCUCUUUGGGGUCCGAGUUGUAAUUUGUAGAGGAUGUUUCGGGUACCGCCUCGGUUUAAAUUUCUUGGAACAGAAUGUCAGAGAGGGUGAGAAUCCCGUCUUGGACCGGCGGUAGGGCCCAUGUGAAACUCCUUCGACGAGUCGAGUUGUUUGGGAAUGCAGCUCAAAAUGGGUGGUAAAUUUCAUCUAAAGCUAAAUAUUGGCCAGAGACCGAUAGCGCACAAGUAGAGUGAUCGAAAGAUGAAAAGAACUUUGAAAAGAGAGUUAAACAGUAUGUGAAAUUGUUGAAAGGGAAGCGCUUGCAACCAGACUUGAGCGCGGCGGUUCCCCCUUCCUUUUGGUUGGGUUACUCCGCCGUGUCCAGGCCAACAUCGGUUCUGGGGGUCGGUUAAAGGCCCGGGGAAUGUACCUACUCCUUCGGGGGUAGACUUAUAGCCCCGGGUGUCAUGCGACCACCCGGGACCGAGGAACGCGCUUCGGCUCGGAUGUUGGCGUAAUGGUUGUCAGCGACCCGUCUUGACACACACGGGACCAAAAA
rnacentral:rRNA from 1 species